CUGGCGUAUUUGAGUGAUAUUCUAUUUCUACCUUUAGAUACUUUUGUGUUGGCGUCAACUAUCAUUUUGCUGAAAAUAAUCCAAAAGUUUUUCAUCUUUCUCAUUGGGCUACAUUGUGAGACGGGGGAUAUAUUCAGAGAAGCAGCGCAACUUUUGAAAUAUUAUUGGAAUGCUGUCAUUCAAUUGCUUGUCUUCUUCUUUGAUUAUUUUUUCGUUUCAUUGCAAUGCGAACAUGCCUGUGUUUAAUUUGGAUAGUAAAGAGACUAAAAUCAAACAGGAAGCUUUCGUCGGAGAAUUACUAGUAUUGUAUUUCGUAAUAAGGGGUUUGAAAUCUCCUUAUCGGUAGCAUUAGCACAAUAUGGCAUCAACUACAUUUAAAUGCAUAUUAAGAGCCACUGGCAACUCAUAGUCAUAGUUAGUUCCCCUCACAGCAUCAAUUUCCACAAAAUUGCACCACUAAAUUACCAUAACGGGGCAGACACCUUUGCCACUUGCUACCAAAAAUGAAGAAGACGAGCGCAAAACUAACGGAAACAUAUUACGGCAACUUAAGAAACCAAACGAAAGGACAAACAGGACGAGCAUAAGACAGGGACAAGUCGAGACAAAUGCCGAACUGAAAUACACCGAAAAAAACACGGAAUACAAGGUGGAAUUAUAUUCGAGUGUGCUCGACAACGUGAAUACCCUAGCACAUAUUUUUAUUACGUUGUAGCUUCUGUGAUUCUUUUUCCUUCACGUCUACAAAUUGUUUUUAAAAUAACUUUCGAGUUUAUUAUCCGAUCUUUAUGACAUUUUGAGGACCAACAAAUUUCUUUUGUUAUAUUAUGUCAAAACUUAAAGGGCACUACCUACAAAAUUGCUCCCGUCAUAGUUGUUAAAAUUAACUGGAACUGGAUAUGGUAUAAAAAGGCACUUAUUAUAAUUUUGGUGUGUCUAGCUCGCUUAAUUUUUGAUAUCGAUCUCAAUUAUAUUGGCUGUCAACACUGAUCAAGAUAAUAUAUACUUUAUAAAGUC